rnacentral:lncRNA from 1 species
GAUAAAUUUAAAAAAUACAUUACCCCCAAAAUGACAUCAAGAGAUUAUUGUUUCCAAACCUGGAAAAGGCAGAUUUAGGCAUUAAAGUGAAACAAAUGAAUAAGUUAGGAAAUAUCUUUGAUCUUUCCAUUUUAAACCCUGUGAGAACUUACUAGUCUACAAAAGGCCAUUUGCCAAUGAAAACUUAUUCAAUUAUGUUCAUUUGUAUCUCUCUGUCACAAGAACUGCCUGCAGGUAGCUUGGUGAGCUUCUAAACAUAUGCUAUUCUUAACUACUUACAGGUGUGUUGGAGUAAUACCAAAUCAUGGCUAUGAAUAUUAAACUCCCAAAGAGCUGUACCUAUCAAGUCGUCCUCAAAGUGGUCCUUGCUAGAGACUGUGUUGUGCAUAAUUUAAUCUUGGGGUCCUGGGAAGAUGAUGAGAAAUCAAGGAAAAAAGUGAUUUCAGUGCACCUGAUCCCGAUAACAUUAUUCCAUUUUACCAUUGAGGAAAUUGUGACAUAGUGGGAUAAAAGUGCUCCACUAAAGUUAUAUAAGGCAGUGCGUGGAGGCAUGGUCUAACCUCCUCUGACUGGGAGCUCUUCUAACUCUUUUCCUAAGGGAGAAAGAAAUGAAGUCAAGUCUUUGUAGCAGUCAUUUAGAGAUCUAUUCUCUGAGAUCAGACAGACUACGUGGGACUGGAAGAUUUGAAGGUUCUUAUUUGGAGUUUGUUUUCAUUUAUCUUUUAAUGUUGAAUAUUCGUGUGCUCUAUCCUUAAAGUUAUUUGCCCUGAGCAAAAAAAGGGGGCGGGGAACAGUUUUAAAAGACUUUGUAUUAAAAGCACAAUUGACAAAGACUACAUAAACUGGACUUCAUUGAAAUAAAAGUUUCCAGAAGAAUUUUCUAGAAAUUGGAAACAAUCCAAAUGUCCGUCAACCUAUGAAUGGAUAAACAAAUCAGGUAUAUCCAUAAAAUGGAAUAAUAUUUUUCCAUAAAAAGGAAUGAAGUAUAGGAAUGUUACAAUUUGGAUGAGCCCUGAAAGCAUUAUACUGAGUGAUAGAAUCCAGUUACAAAGGCCACAUAUUGUAUGACUCCAUUUUAUAUAAAUAUCCAGAAUAAAAAAAUCUAUACAGACAGAAGGUUGAUUAGUGGUUGCCAGGACUGGAGGGAGGGGAGAAUGUGGAGUGACUGCUAAUGGAUAUAGGUUUUCUUUUGGGCUGAUGAAAAUGUUCUGAAAUUAGAUAGUGGUGGUGGUCGUACAACUCUUCAAAUGUACUAAAAACCACUGACCUGUAUACUUUUAAAGGAUGAAUUUUGUAGUAUGUGAAUUAUUCUCAAUAAAGCUGUUUUAGAAUGAUGAUAGAUAGAUAGAUAGCAGGCCUUGGAUUAGGAGUUGCAUGUGUUAAUAAAAGCAUAGGUUAGGUUGAGUUUAUUUCCUGCUCUUCAUUUAUAUGAUCUCAAUGGAUACAAUCAGGUGACCUUACCAGUUGAUGUUAAUUUUGUAUGUGUUCAUGGAAAGAGUAGUUUCUGGAUUCCAAUGAAAAAAAUCUAUUACUUUUUGAAAAACAUUUAGACCUCUAUUUUACAAGUCAUUGUUUCCCACCUUCAACUCUAUGUCUUGAAGCAUUUAAGUAUGUUGUUCUUUUUAAAAUAAACUCUACUUUUAAAUAGUUGCUUUAAAGAUUGCCUUUGAAAGAUGCCUUUCACUGGAUUUUCUGUACAUUAAUUAAGUAAGAACCCUUAAAUUCUUUUUUAAUUUAAUUAUUUUUAUUAAAGUAACAUUGAUUUAUAAUAUAUGAAUGUCAAGAUUAAAUUUCUGUUAAUUGUUUAGAAUGUUGAACACUUUGGGCACGAUGACGUUUGUAAGCUUUCAGAAUAUUGCAUGUAGAUUUCAAAAAAGAAAUAUAUGUAGAAUAUUUGAAUUCCUUAAAAUGCAUUAAACUAUGUUUUCUUAUAGUUUUAUUUUAAUUUUUUAACAAA